AAAGUCGUAACAAGGUUUCCGUAGGUGAACCUGCGGAAGGAUCAUUAAAAGUUAUUGGUAUACUCCCACGAGUAUUCUUAUAUAAACCCAUUCCGUGUACCCAUCCCGUUGCUUCCGCGGAGCGUCGGUCAGCCGACAGCCCUCUCAGGAUGACUCUUGUCAUGCGAGGAGCGCCAUCCGCGGGAGGUCUACACAUCAAACCCUUGCACUUCCAUGUCUUCUGUCUGAACCUGUUUUAUACAAAUUGUUAAAACUUUCAACAACGGAUCUCUUGGUUCUC
rnacentral:misc_RNA from 1 species